AACGAACGCUGGCGGCGUGGAUAAGACAUGCAAGUCGAACGGGACAUUUUUAGUAGUAAUAUUAGAGAUGUUCAGUGGCGAACGGGUGCGUAACACGUGGAUACAUUCCGGAAAGCGGGGGAUAGCCCAGGGAAACUUGGAUUAAUACCGCAUGUGGUCGCAAGACUAAAGACGGGGAUCGAAAGACCUGUCACUUUCCGAUUGGUCCCCGGCCUAUCAUCUAGUUAGCGGGGUAAAAGCCCAACAAGGCGACGACGGGUAGCUGGUCUUAGAGGACGACCAGCCACACUGGAACGGAGACACGGUCCAGACACCUACGGGUGGCAGCAGUCGAGAAUCUUUCACAAUGGGGGCAACCCUGAUGGAGCGACGCCGCGUGGAGGAUAAGGUCUUCGGAUUGUAAACUCCUGUCAUGCGAGAACAAGGUUGCAGGGCUAAUACCCGUGCAAAUUGAUGGUACCGCAAGAGGAAGAGACGGCUAACUCUGUGCCAGCAGCCGCGGUAAGAC
rnacentral:rRNA from 1 species